ACAUUCUGUGGAUAGCCAUCUCGAUCAACCCGAUAGGUGAACUCCCCAGGAGCUGGAUCUUCAUGGUUCUUCCAAGAUGACAGUUACGUGAGCUUUGAAUCAACACAUCAUGUUUAUGAGGAAGCUUGCAGCCAUUACUCGAAAGUGUUCAUUGAAUAAAUCCCGUCUUGUGAUCCUAGUCCACAAAAGAUCACAAAAAUGUAAAUCGAU